rnacentral:rRNA from 1 species
GAUGAACGCUGGCGGCGUGCCUAACACAUGCAAGUCGAGCGAACAGACGAUGAGCUCGCGCCUCUGACGUUAGCGGCGGACGGGUGAGUAACACGUGCAUAACCUACUUAUAAGACUGGGAGAAUUUCGGGAAACCGGAGCUAAUAACGCAUAAUACAACGAACGGCAGGGAUCAAUAGUGAAACACGGCUUGGCCGUUACUUAGAGAUGAUGCCGCGCCGGAUUGGCGAGGUGGUAAGGGAACGGCUUACCAAGGCAACGAUGCGUAGCCGACCUGAGAGGGUGGUCCGCCACACUUGAACUGAGACACGGUCCAGACUCCUACGGGGGGCCGGAGUAGGGAAUCUUCGGCAAUGGGCGGAAGCCUGACGGCGCACCGCCGCGUGAGUGAUGAAGGUCUUCGGAUUGUAAAACUCUGUUAGUAGGGAAGAACAAAUGUGUGAGUAACUAUGCGCGUCUUGACGGUACCUAAUCGGAAAGCCACGGCUAACUACGUG